rnacentral:rRNA from 1 species
CCUACGGGAGGCAGCAGUAAGGAAUAUUGCGCAAUGGGCGAAAGCCUGACGCAGCAACGCCGCGUGCGGGAUGACGGCCUUCGGGUUGUAAACCGCUUUCAGCAGGGACGAAACUGACGGUACCUGCAGAAGAAGCACCGGCUAACUACGUGCCAGCAGCCGCGGUGAUACGUAGGGUGCGAGCGUUGUCCGGAAUUAUUGGGCGUAAAGAGCUCGUAGGCGGUCUGUCGCGUCGGAAGUGAAAACUCGGGGCUUAACCCCGAGCCUGCUUUCGAUACGGGCAGACUUGAGGAAUGUAGGGGAGAACGGAAUUCCUGGUGGAGCGGUGGAAUGCGCAGAUAUCAGGAGGAACACCAGUGGCGAAGGCGGUUCUCUGGACAUUAACUGACGCUGAGGAGCGAAAGCGUGGGGAGCAAACAGGCUUAGAUACCCUGGUAGUCCACGCCGUAAACGGUGGGCACUAGGUGUGGGGGACAUUCCACGUUCUCCGUGCCGUAGCUAACGCAUUAAGUGCCCCGCCUGGGGAGUACGGCCGCAAGGCUAAAACUCAAAGGAAUUGACGG